AGAUAUUACAUACAAGUGUUCCUGACAUUUCUCUUGCUUGUUUCUGACUCGCUUCUGUUGAGUUUACUUCAUAUAAAUGGUUAAUUUCUUCGAAUCAGUCCUUUAGCAUCAGAGGAGGUAACAUUAGGCUUACUCCAUAGACGGAGCUCUUUAUUAAAGUUUGGGAUUCUUAUUACAUCUUUAUGUGUAGAUGACAGCAUUUGACAGGUCUGUGAAAGGUUUGCUGUGUUUUAUUAAUUAAUUUAUUUUUAAUGGGUGAUUGGAAAUUGGCUCAUUUAUUUAACCUCAAGUUAAACAUAAACUAUACCGUUAAUCGGUGACGUCACUGACAUCAGCGCGACAAUGAACUGAAUCAUGUGUUUUGAUCUCUCAUGGUGAACAAAUAUUGACAAAAACUAUUGAUUUCAGGAGAGAAAGAAACCUCAGAAACAGGAGAAGCUCCAAGAUUUCACAAUUUCUGAAGGCAGAAGAACUGGGAAAGCUUCUUAAAUUUUUAAGAGGGCUUUGACAUCCAUUCUUCAGUGCUAAUGGCCUGCUGCACCCCAGAGUCCUGUCAGACAACAUCUACAAAGAACACUGAACCAUAUGGCUAAUAACCUAACCUCAAAUAUACACUAUUGUUCAAAAUUCAGUAAGAUAUUUUAUGUUUUAACACAAUUCACACAUAACACAUCUCAUUACCGUGCACUACAGUUAUAUGUGAUGAAAUAAAUAAUCUUUUAUGUGAAAUAAUACGAACAGCAGCUAUGCUAAUCUUUCUCCUUUUGGUUUCCUGUUUCUAUCCCGGGAUGCCCAUCUCAAAGUCACUAGAGAUUACGCCAGUUCCAGUUUGGAUCCAGCCUUCAGAAGACACCAACACUCACGAUGACUUCAGAUGAUGACAACUGUAGAUGAACAUACAAUCUGGCAAAUAUUAUCCUUAUAUUGUGAUCAUUGUUAUUGAUGUCUUUUUCUCUACUUUAGGGAGAACUUCUCAACAAAUUAACUUCACAGCGCAUCAAUGGAAGGCUUUCCUAUGUAACAAACAUGGUUUUCCACUCUUGUAUUUAUCCAUAUCAGGUUUUCUGGGAUGACAGUUGAGGACAUCAGCACAUCAGAUGUUGGCCUGGACAGCUGUACCUACAGUACACCACACUGACAUCUGCUUUUGCAUGUAUAGCUGACUACUACCAUGUUCUGUGAAGGUAUUAUUAUAGCAAAACUGAGCACCUGUGACAGUGGAAUCUGCAGGUGUAAAGAAUAGUCGCACAUGCAUAUCAGUAAACUGAAGUCACAAAAGUUUUUUUUAGGAGUUGCAAAUGUUUUAUUUACUCUUUCUUUUUCAUAAACACAACACAACAGUAACACCAUUUCAAAUUCUGAGGUGCACAAAUCCUAUUCUACAAAU